CACCACGGGCAGGAGCCAGGCUUGUCAGUGAACUGGACCUGGUCGUGGCUGCUGGAGCUUUCCAUCCUCAUUCCCUAAGGAGCCAAGGCUGCCAGGAACCUUCACACCCCUUGCUUCUGGGCUCAGAGGAGGCACAGGCGCACACUAGCGGCACCCUCCCAGAGUGCAGGCAUGAAGCCAGCAUCCGUGGGGAGGAACCUACUGGGGAAAACACCCCAGCGGUUCCCUGUGUGCACUGCGAAGAGGACAUGGAACCUCCCGCCUCGGGCCGGCCGCCAGGGGAGCAGGCCCUGCCAGGGGGUGACAGAGGCCAUGCCAGGACACCACCCAAGCCUGCUCUGGCAUUCCCUGUGAUACCAGCUGGCAGCGGCCAGCCUCUGCCCUUAGGAGCACUCACACGGCGGUCCAAACCAUUAGCUGCCACGAGAGCCACAUUGCUAGUGACAGGCGACCACAGCAGGGCAAGCGCCGGCCACCAGGCAGGUGUGGAGGGCUCCGUCCUGUGGCUCUUUUCCGAAGGCACAGCAUUUUUCUUCCCCUCCCAAUUAAUCUCCCAGGGCCCCAUCCUGAAGGAACGGAUCUGUCACGAGAAGUGACAAGAUGGGAUCUGCGGAGCAGAGGCUGGAAUCCGAGGCGGUGUUUCCUGGCGGGCCAUUUGCAUGGUUUGCCUGACUUCAGCAGAAAUGCACGGCAGAUAACCCAGAGCCGCGCGGGCACCUGCAAUUGAAGAAUUCAGAAUCACAAGUAAUGGGUCUAAAUUGGCAGGCUUUCAUGAGAGUCCCACCAAUCUUCAAGCGUACAGCUGCCAUGGGUCACGUAAAAUGGUUUCCUAGAGUCUGUAUUUCUGAUGGCACCCCUGUGUCAUUGUUGGCCCUAUUUCUUUGUUCUCCGAAUUUCCUACGAUACAGUGGUGUUUUCUGCCAUUUGGAAGUUAGAGAAUCAUUUUUCCAGAAAGCCGAGGUUCCUUCUAUUGUCUCUCUUGGCUGACUCGCUGGUGCCUGUGACGUCAAUGACCAGCUCCAUAAUGAAUUCCAAGUGUCCUCUGGUCUGCAUCUCUCAUCUGCGUGUCUCCAAAUGGCUGCCCAACAUUGCCCUCAGAUGCCUCACUGCCACUGCAUCCUGCAAGUCUGGUCCACUUCUAGCGAGGACACCCUGUCCAUCACAUCACGCAAGUCAAAACUGUAGAAGUUCUUACUGACCCCUCCCCCGUCUCUCCCUCCCUCCCUCCCAGACAUCUGCUUAUUCCCAAUGUCUGUUCUUCUACUUCCUGUGUAACUCUCUCAUCGCUCCCCUUAUUUCCAGCUGCCCUUCACCCACUUUCCUGGUCGGAUACCAAUGGCUCACGGCUAAGCUGCCUCCCUAACUAGUCUCCCUGUCUUCCUCUGCUCUUGUACUUCUUCAGUGUAUACCCCACGUGACCACCUAAACGUUUUUCCUGAUCUCUCUGAUCGUGUCACCCCUUCUUAAAACCUCCGAUAGGUUCCAGCUACAUUUUGGAUAAAGCUGGGGUUCUUGAAGGGUGGCUCCCAAGACUCCAUUCUGUCAGGUACCCCCUGCCCCUGUCCUGGCAGCCCCCUCCCAGAUGACACCUGUCUUCUUUGCACAUCACAUCACAGGGCUGUGUCCCUGCCCCACCUGCUCUUUGCCCUGCUCUUUGCUCAUGACCUUCUGGAUCAUGCCCAUCCCCUGUGUCUGAGCUCAGGCACAGCCCUGUCUUGUUCACACCUUCUCGGACCCUCAACCUAGGCCAGGUGUCUUAUCACCUGUCUCAGAGAACUGCUCAUUUGCGCUAACGCUCAGAACAGCUUCUGGUCAGACGUGUAUCUGGCAUUACUGGAUUUGUCUUCCUUGCUAGCCUGGGCCUUCUUGGGACUAGGAACCGUGUCUAUUUUUAACCAGUGUACCCUCAGACACUUGCAAGGUGCCCCACACAUUGCACCUGCUCAGUAUGUGCUCAAUGAGUGAUAAAGCCAUCAAGGCACCUCCAGAAAGGGCCUCUGAUGUCUGCAACAACUCAUCGGAAUAAUCUAACAUAGGCAGCCCUGGAAAAGAAGUAUGUAUUGAUGCCGCAAAGAGGAAUUCUAACAGAAAAGAAUGCUCAGAACCUUCUAAGGCCCAUAUAUGAGGGAGAUGAAGUCUAGCUUGUCAGUUUCAUGAUGAGUUUGAUGUUUCUUCUCCUGGAGGAUUGUGACUAAUGUAACAUGACCGCAGAUAUAAUUAAACCUGGUGUUUGUGCCUUUCUUUUUGCACUUAAUCGGUUUUGGGGGAAGUAAAUCUUGAAUCCUAAUCUAUCAUCAGGGUAGAUGCUCUAAUUGUGAUGACAUCAUAGCAAUAACGACGUGGAAUAUUUACAGGUGAGCUUUCCAGUGGACGCACAUGCAACAUCUCCUCCAUUCCGCGUUACUCUAACUCUGUGAUAAUUAGCAGGCUAGUUAUUUGUUAAAACAAGGUAGAGACAUAUUCCAGGCAAGAACUGGGUGCCAUCGCACGAUAAGCUGCUCUAAGCAGAAAAUAAUGAAUACACUGAGAUUUGCUCCCAGCGAUUCAGAACUAAUCCUGAACGAAUAAUAAACUAGGUCAUACUUAGGCCUACAGAGAAUAAGUACAUCCUCUGAGCCAUUAAGACCUCUGAAACCAGUACUGCUUCAGAAUGGGAGAAACUAGUCA